rnacentral:rRNA from 1 species
UACGUAGGGUCCGAGCGUUGUCCGGAAUUAUUGGGCGUAACGAGCUCGUAGGCGGUCUGUUGCGUCGGUUGUGAAAACCUGGGGCUCAACUCCAGGCCUGCAAUCGAUACGGGCAGACUAGAGUUCGGUAGGGGAGACUGGAAUUCCUGGUGUAGCGGUGAAAUGCGCAGAUAUCAGGAGGAACACCGGUGGCGAAGGCGGGUCUCUGGGCCGAAACUGACGCUGAGGAGCGAAAGCGUGGGGAGCGAACAGG